rnacentral:rRNA from 1 species
UUUGAUCCUGGCUCAGAUUGAACGCUGGCGGCAGGCCUAACACAUGCAAGUCGAACGGUAGCACAGAGGAGCUUGCUCCUUGGGUGACGAGUGGCGGACGGGUGAGUAAUGUCUGGGAAACUGCCCGAUGGAGGGGGAUAACUACUGGAAACGGUAGCUAAUACCGCAUAACGUCGCAAGACCAAAGAGGGGGACCUUCGGGCCUCUUGCCAUCGGAUGUGCCCAGAUGGGAUUAGCUAGUAGGUGGGGUAACGGCUCACCUAGGCGACGAUCCCUAGCUGGUCUGAGAGGAUGACCAGCCACACUGGAACUGAGACACGGUCCAGACUCCUACGGGAGGCAGCAGUGGGGAAUAUUGCGCAAUGGGCGCAAGCCUGAUGCAGCCAUGCCGCGUGUAUGAAGAAGGCCUUCGGGUUGUAAAGUACUUUCAGCGAGGAGGAAGGCAUUAAGGUUAAUAACCUUAGUGAUUGACGUUACUCGCAGAAGAAGCACCGGCUAACUCCGUGCCAGCAGCCGCGGUAAAAGGG